UUGAACGCUGGCGGCAGGCCUAACACAUGCAAGUCGAACGGUAACAGGAAGAAGCUUGCUUCUUUGCUGACGAGUGGCGGACGGGUGGGUAAUGUCUGGGAAACUGCCUGAUGGAGGGGGAUAACUACUGGAAACGGUAGCUAAUACCGCAUAACGUCGCAAGACCAAAGAGGGGGACCUUCGGGCCUUUUGCCAUCGGAUGUGCCCAGAUGGGAUUAGCUAGUAGGUGGGGUAACGGCUCACCUAGGCGACGAUCCCUAGCUGGUCUGAGAGGAUGACCAGCCACACUGGAACUGAGACACGGUCCAGACUCCUACGGGAGGCAGCAGUGGGGAAUAUUGCACAAUGGGCGCAAGCCUGAUGCAGCCAUGCCGCGUGUAUGAAGAAGGCCUUCGGGUUGUAAAGUACUUUCAGCGGGGAGGAAGGGAGUAAAGUUAAUACCUUUGCUCAUUGACGUUACCCGCAGAAGAAGCACCGGCUAACUCCGUG
rnacentral:rRNA from 1 species